rnacentral:rRNA from 1 species
CAGUCGCCGCGGUAAUACGAAGGGUGCAAGCGUUAAUCGGAAUUACUGGGCGUAAAGCGUGCGUAGGCGGUGAGUUAAGUCUGCUGUGAAAUCCCCGGGCUCAACCUGGGAAUGGCAGUGGAUACUGGCUCGCUAGAGUGUGUCAGAGGAUGGUGGAAUUCCCGGUGUAGCGGUGAAAUGCGUAGAGAUCGGGAGGAACAUCAGUGGCGAAGGCGGCCAUCUGGGACAACACUGACGCUGAGGCACGAAAGCAUGGGGAGCAAACAGGAUUAGAUACCCCAGUAGUCCCUGUCUCUUAUAC